AUCUGGACCCUUUUCGAUAUCUCCUUGUCUAGCUUCAAAAGUCGAACAAAAUUAGACUGGGAAACUGGGAAAUAGAUGUUUUAUCAAAGAAGCAACUAGAUUAUGCUGCCACGGAUGCUUUUGCUUCUUGACAGCUUACCAGGUGUUGAAGAGUCACCCAGAUGCAAAGCAUGCAACUGCUGAAAGAAGUGAGGAGCUGAAAGUUGUGCCAAAACAAUGAGAAUUUUAUUGGACAACCAUCCAUAACAAGUUGGGCCUAGGAGGUGGGAAGAAAUUGGCCAGAAUAUAGAAAAGUAGAAGAACGUAGUGACAUACGAAUGGGGCAUAGUGUUGGUUAUGUUCUAUUUUCUUUACUACUGAGAUAUGCCAAUAAAUUAUUUUGCAAAGGCCAAAUCUGUGGAAAUGUGCGAGUGAUGGGUCUUAAUCAAGAUCCAAAAUGGACCUCCGAAUUUCUCGGUUGCGAUCAAGAGAAAACCAACAUCCCACCUGCCUAGAACAUGGUCAGAGAGACAAAGGGGUUAUGUCCAUUUCUCUUGUUGGCUUUUGCAAUGCUGAAAAGCUCAUAAAAAUCCAACGUGUUUAGUUCGCGUGCCAACAUUUUAGCUGUAAAAUGGAUUUCAUUCUUUUUCUUUAGAUUGAUUUCGUACUCUUUUGUUGUGCCCUCCUUUUUUUUUUUU